UGGGGCGUGGCCAAGCGGUAAGGCGAGGGACUUUGGAUCCCUUAUUCGGAGGUUCGAAUCCUCCCGCCCCAACCA
rnacentral:tRNA from 1 species